UACAGAGGGUGCGAGCGUUGUCCGGAAUCACUGGGCGUAAAGGGCGCGUAGGCGGCCCCUUAAGCGUGUGGUGAAAGCGCGGGGCUCAACCCCGCGUCGGCCAUGCGGACUGGGGGGCUGGAGCACGUCAGAGGCAGGCGGAAUUCCGGGUGUAGCGGUGGAAUGCGUAGAGAUCGGAAAGAACACCAACGGCGAAAGCACUCUGCUGGGCCGACACUGACACUGAGAGACGAAAGCUAGGGGAGCGAAUGGG
rnacentral:rRNA from 1 species